GCUUGGGUAGCUUAGUUGGUGAAGCACUCGUCUCGCAUACAAGAGUCGUGGGUUCGAAUCUCACCUGAACUC
rnacentral:tRNA from 1 species